GAUGAAGAACGCAGCGAAAUGCGAUACGUAAUGUGAAUUGCAGAAUUCAGUGAAUCAUCGAAUCUUUGAACGCACAUUGCGCCUGCCAGCACUCUGGCAGGCAUGCCUGUUCGAGCGUCAUUUCAACCAUCAAGCCCUAGGCUUGCGUUGGAGCCCUGCGGCUGCCGCAGGCCCCUAAAAGCAGUGGCGGGCUCGCUAUCACACCGAGUGCAGUAGAUUACUCUUCGCUCAGGGCGUGCAGCGGGUUCCGGCCGUGAAACCCCCUACUUUUAAAGGUUGACCUCGGAUCAGGUAGGAAUACCCGCUGAACUUAAGCAUAUCAAUAAGCGGAGGA
rnacentral:misc_RNA from 1 species